rnacentral:rRNA from 2 species
UACGUAGGGUGCGAGCGUUAAUCGGAAUUACUGGGCGUAAAGCGUGCGCAGGCGGUUCGAUAAGUCAGAUGUGAAAUCCCCGAGCUCAACUUGGGAACUGCGUUUGAAACUGUCGAGCUAGAAUAGGUCAGAGGGGGGUAGAAUUCCACGUGUAGCAGUGAAAUGCGUAGAGAUGUGGAGGAAUAUCAAUGGCGAAGGCAGCCCCCUGGGAUCAUAUUGACGCUCAUGCACGAAAGCGUGGGGAGCAAACAGG